UUAGUUGGUGAGGUAACGGCUCACCAAGACGACGAUACAUAGGGGGACUGAGAGGUUAACCCCCCACAUUGGUACUGAGACACGGACCAAACUCCUACGGGAGGCAGCAGUGAGGAAUAUUGGUCAAUGGACGCAAGUCUGAACCAGCCAUGCCGCGUGCAGGAUGACGGCUCUAUGAGUUGUAAACUGCUUUUGUACGAGGGUAAUAUCAGAUACGUGUAUCUGCUUGAAAGUAUCGUACGAAUAAGGAUCGGCUAACUCCGUGCCAGCAGCCGCGGUAAUACGGAGGAUCCAAGCGUUAUCCGGAUUUAUUGGGUUUAAAGGGUGCGUAGGCGGUUUUAUAAGUUAGAGGUGAAAAUUCGGGGCUCAACUCCGGACGUGCCUCUAAUACUGUAUGACUAGAGAAUAGAUGCGGUAGGCGGAAUGUAUGGUGUAGCGGUGAAAUGCGUAGAGAUCAUACAGAACACCGAUUGCGAAGGCAGCUUACCAAACUAUGUCUGACGUUGAGGCACGAAAGCGUGGGGAGCAAACAGGAUUAGAUACCCUGGUAGUCCACGCAGUAAACGAUGAUAGCUCGUUGUCGGCGAUAC
rnacentral:rRNA from 1 species